rnacentral:lncRNA from 1 species
UGGGAUGAACAUGUUAUAAUGGAUAAACAUAACCCAAAUCAGGAUAUUAUUUUUAUUCAUUCAAUUUCUCUCUAUUUUCUCAGGAACUCUCCCGAACCCACACUCUCUCCAUAUCAUGAUUUCAAAAUCUUUCCAAUUCCUCUCUAACACUAAUGUAAUAUAUUCAUGGAGAAAAUAAGCUUCUUCCAAUGAGUUAAUUAGAGAGUCCAUUGAAAGGAAUUAAAGGCAAAAGCUUCAACAGUUGGGUUAGUGAAAGGAAAGAGGGUUUGAAACCCACAAGAUUUAAAGAGCUCCAUCGCCAUCUUCAUCUUCAAAUAACUAAGGUGAAUUCUUUUAUUAGGCUUUAAUUUUGGUAGAAACUAGAGUUUUAAAGUAAACCUAAGUAUGAGAAGUGGCAUUUGUUGGAAUGUUAAGAAAUUCUACCCCAACUAUUGAUAAAUUAUGAUUGGAGACUUCAAUGUAGAAAUUAGAGUAUGUUAGAUUCAUAUUCUGUUAUGAUUUAAUUACAAUCUAGCUGAGAUUCUAGAAUAUUCAAUAUUGGAAUGGUUUUGGGACUGUUUUGGAACUAUUGGCACUUUUUAAAACUAAUAGACUUUAUUGUAAGAAUUAAAGUAUGUUAGAACCAUGUUUUGUCAUGAUAGAAUAUGAACUAGUUAGAAUCUCAUGUUAACAUUUCAUUGGGGACUGUUAUAAGACAUUAAAGAGUAAUUAGAUUGUAGUAAAAUAGUUUGAAUGGACUGUUUAAACAUUUUGGUAACUUUGCUACAAGUAUAACAACUCUUUUAGACGUUACUAACAGAGGUGAUCAUCCAUAUGGUUUUGUCUCAACUUGUAUUCUUAUGAGCUUAGGUGAUGUAGACAUGAAAUUAUGCUAGUUUACACUCUUUUGUUUAGUAUUAUGCGUACUCAUAUUUUGAAUUAAUAGGAAUUGCCAAGUAACUAACCAUAGUUUGGUUUAGUGGUAUUAAUGAUGCUUAGAGGCUUUAUUUUAGCUGAGCAUAGUUUCCUUUUAANNNNNNNNNNNNNNNNNNNNNNNNNNNNNNNNNNNNNNNNNNNNNNNNNNNNNNNNNNNUAUAGUUAAAGGAAAGAUAAGAAUGAACCGGUGUGGCUAGAAAAGAAUGACAUAUUGUGAAUAUAAAUACGUUGAGAUCAAUAAUCUAUCGAUCUAGAAAGUAUUUCAAUGAAGCAUAUGCAUGUGAAAUGAAAUGACUUGGAACAUGGUUGAAGUGAUAUACUUUAUGUGAAGAAGAUUGCUAUUGUUUGGAUUUAUAGGACACAUUAGGAAAAUGAUUUCGAUAUGGUGCCACUUAUACAUUAUUUACAAGUGUGUUAGGAUUUUUCAUGUUAAAUAUGAUAAGUUAAAUAAGAAUAGAUUCACAUUGAGUAAAGUACCGGUAAAUUAUAUUUUAAUGUUUUAUUAGAAAUAUAAAGGUACCGUUUGCCACCACGAAGAGAUAAGGUGGUAUAGCC